rnacentral:tRNA from 2 species
GUCUGGUUAGCUCAGUUGGUAGAGCGCUCCACCUUUAAUCCAGAGGUCCCGGGUUCAAUAUCCGGACCAGGCG